CAGCCGCCGCGGUAAUACGAAGGGUGCAAGCGUUACUCGGAAUUACUGGGCGUAAAGCGUGUGUAGGUGGUUGUUUAAGUCUGUCGUGAAAGCCCUGGGCUCAACCUGAGAAUUGCGAUGGAUACUGGGCGACUAGAGUGCGGUAGAGGAUAGUGGAAUUUCCGGUGUAGCAGUGAAAUGCGUAGAGAUCGGAAGGAACAUCUGUGGCGAAGGCGACUAUCUGGGCCAACACUGACACUGAGACACGAAAGCGUGGGGAGCAAACAGGAUUAGAUACCCGCGUAGUCCCUGUCUCUUAUAC
rnacentral:rRNA from 1 species